rnacentral:rRNA from 1 species
GUCUACGGCCAUGCCACUGUGAACAAGCCCAAUCCUGUCUGAUCUAGGACUAAGCAGGGUUGGGCCUGGUUAGUACUUGGAUGGGAGUCCACCUAGGGAGACCAGGUGCUGUAGUCA